rnacentral:rRNA from 1 species
AUACGGAGGGUCCAAGCGUUAUCCGGAAUCAUUGGGUUUAAAGGGUGCGCAGGCGGUUUAAUAAGUCAGUGGUGAAAUCUCGGGGCUCAACCUCGAAACUGCCAUUGAUACUGUUAAACUUGAGUUCAGUUGGAGUAGGCGGAAUGUGUAGUGUAGCGGUGAAAUGCUUAGAUAUUACACAGAACACCGAUAGCGAAGGCAGCUUACUAAACUGAUACUGACGCUAAGGCGUGAAAGCGUGGGGAGCAAACAGGAUUAGAAACCCUUGUAGUCC